rnacentral:lncRNA from 1 species
AAGCAACACAUCAUGAACCCCUACAUAAAUGGAUUCUAUUUGUAGUUAACAACAAGAGAGUUUGAGUGUGAUGUCAAUAUCACUGGUCUGGAUGUUCAGAUUUUCUCAAAAUAAAAAACUGGUACUUACAACCAGGCAAGUAAUUGAUCUAUUUACAUAGUCAAGUUCAUUUUUUGCUAUGUUCUUUCGUCAAACUUCAGAUUCUAGCCUUAAAUUAAUGACAAUGAUAUUCUUUUUAGUCCACAACCACAUCUGGUGUAUUAAUUCAUCUAUCCCGACACUGAUAGAAUUAUGUGCAAACUAUAUUGUUCUUCAGAUUUGGCCUGAUUCUGAUGUAUACUGUGUGUGCAUAUGCAACUGUCUAAGGCGGUCGGUUGAACGCAGGUGGAGGCCAAGGAGGUUCUCCUCUCGGACAUGCAAACAAUAAUUGCUGAUGACACCAACGUGCAGACUAUAAGUCCCCCUCAAUCCCGAUAUAGUUGUGUCACACACUCUGCAUUUACAUUAUUAGUUUGUAAUAGAUUCUGAAAGUUGAUUCAAGUUUGUAGUGCUUCAAAUCUGAAAGUUGAUAGAGUAAUUUGUCAAUUGAUUUGUACUGUAGUGCUUCAAGACUGAUUGCUCCGUGUUUGAUUCAUGUCUCAAAGUUGAUACAAUCAUUUUGUCAACUAAUCCCUGUUGUAGUGCUUCAAGUCUGAUUGGUCCCUGUUUGAUUGAAGUUUGGAAGUUGAUGGUUUGAUUGUAUUUUUAUUUUCUUCCGCUUUGGGAGUUUCUGUAGGUAUUAUUAAGUUGCUAUAGAUGUAUC